GUCUAAUGUCAUCUCACAUCGCUGAUCAUUGAGCGAGACAUGCGCUCCAAGCGGAGAGAUUUAUAACUGCAAUUACAAUGCCUCAGCCGGUCAUUUUUGCGACUGUUCUACUUCGACAGACUUUCCUCCUUAUCUCUACUCUCCCUGGAAGUAACGAAAUGUCACUUCAAGUGACACUGUUUUUCCCUCCUUUUUCGUUUGGCGCCUGUUGUGUCGUACGCGUCCUCCGUGAUUGUGCUCUAUGUGAUUAAUAAUAACACCUAUUCGUUUCAUGGAAAAGCGAAAACAUGUACUCGGUGAUAAAAUUUACUGAAAAAGACGGCGGAACCGUAUCAUUAGUGAACAACCAGUGGUUUACGCCAAGGAGAUGCGAAUAUCAAAUUCUACGGACAUCACUCGGCAGUUCGUGGUCCCGGCCGCCAUCAUGCUUUGUACUGCUGCUCCAGCUAUCCUCCAGUGCAACUUGAAGGCCUAAUCCAUGCACACAUCGGUGUUUUUUUAUAUCUAUGUAAUACACUUGUCAUUGGCGAAGGUCCACGAGGCUGCCAUAUUGAAUAGAGAGAAAUUCUUUAAGGGCCAGUGAUCGAGCCAUGCUAAUUUGAAAUCGCGAGUACCUAUUUCGUAUAAUCACAUUAUUUUCAUAAAAUGACUUGAGGACCCCUUCCAUUGACAUGAAUGCACGGAACUACAAGCCGGCUUCUUUUCUGCGUUGGAUGACCUAGAGAAAGCAAAAAAAAUACUGAAACUGGUUGAGGAUACAUCAGACUUACAGACUGAAGCCGAAACAGAACCAAGUCUUAAACGUAAAAUG